rnacentral:rRNA from 1 species
GCGGUAAGGCCCUUCGGGGUACACGAGCGGCGAACGGGUGAGUAACACGUGGGUAACCUGCCCUGUACUCUGGGAUAAGCCUUGGAAACGAGGUCUAAUACCGGAUACGACCUUCUGUCGCAUGGUCGGAGGUGGAAAGUUCCGGCGGUAUGGGAUGGACCCGCGGCCUAUCAGCUUGUUGGUGGGGUAAUGGCCUACCAAGGCGACGACGGGUAGCCGGCCUGAGAGGGUGACCGGCCACACUGGGACUGAGACACGGCCCAGACUCCUACGGGAGGCAGCAGUGGGGAAUAUUGCACAAUGGGCGAAAGCCUGAUGCAGCGACGCCGCGUGAGGGAUGACGGCCUUCGGGUUGUAAACCUCUUUCAGCAGGGACGAAGCGCAAGUGACGGUACCUGCAGAAGAAGCACCGGCUAACUACGUGCCAGCAGCCGCGGUAAUACGUAGGGUGCGAGCGUUGUCCGGAAUUAUUGGGCGUAAAGAGCUCGUAGGCGGUUUGUCGCGUCGGCCGUGAAAACUUGGGGCUUAACCCCGAGCCUGCGGUCGAUACGGGCAGACUUGAGUUCGGCAGGGGAGACUGGAAUUCCUGGUGUAGCGGUGAAAUGCGCAGAUAUCAGGAGGAACACCGGUGGCGAAGGCGGGUCUCUGGGCCGAUACUGACGCUGAGGAGCGAAAGCGUGGGGAGCGAACAGGAUUAGAUACCCUGGUAGUCCACGCCGUAAACGGUGGGUGCUAGGUGUGGGGGACUUCCACGUUCUCCGUGCCGCAGCUAACGCAUUAAGCACCCCGCCUGGGGAGUAC